rnacentral:rRNA from 1 species
UAGGGAAUUUUGGACAAUGGGGGAAACCCUGAUCCAGCCAUUCCGCGUGAGUGAAGAAGGCCUUCGGGUUGUAAAGCUCUUUCGGCAGGAACGAAACGGUUUGGGCUAAUACCCCAGACUACUGACGGUACCUGAAGAAGAAGCACCGGCUAACUACGUGCCAGCAGCCGCGGUAAUACGUAGGGUGCGAGCGUUAAUCGGAUUUACUGGGCGUAAAGCAUGCGCAGGCGGCGGUUCAAGUCAGGUGUGAAAUCCCCGAGCUUAACUUGGGAAUUGCGCUUGAAACUAGAUCGCUAGAGUACGGCAGAGGGGGGUAGAAUUCCACGUGUAGCAGUGAAAUGCGUAGAGAUGUGGAGGAACACCGAUGGCGAAGGCAGCCCCCUGGGCCUGUACUGACGCUCAUGCAUGAAAGCGUGGGGAGCAAACAGGAUUAGAUACCCCAGUAGUCCCUGAGCGGGCUGGCAAGGCGCAU